UGCAGUCGAACGAGAAGCGUUCUUCGGAACGUGAGUACAGUGGCGGACGGGUGAGUAACACGUGGGGAACCUGCCCUCAAGCUGGGAACAACCCGCCUAACGGCGGGCUAAUACCGAAUGUGGUUGUCAGUCCGCAUGGAAUGACAAUUAAAGGUGGCCUCUCCUUGGAAGCUACCGCUUGUGGAUGGCCCCGCGCUCAAUUAGCUAGUUGGUAGGGUAACGGCCUACCAAGGCGACGAUUGAUAGCCGACCUGAGAGGGUGACCGGCCACACUGGGAUUGAGAUAAGGCCCAGUCUCCUACGGGAGCCAGCAGUCUAGAAAUUUGGGCAAUGGGCGAAAGCCUGACCCAGCGACGCCGCGUGGGGGAUGAAGCUUCUCGGAGUGUAAACCCCUGUUAGGUGGGACGAAAGCCCGUAUACGAACAGUAGGCGGGUUUGACGGUACCACCAGAGGAAGCUCCGGCUAACUCCGUGCCAGCAGCCGCGGUAAUACGGGGGGAGCAAGCGUUGUUCGGAGUUAUUGGGCGUAAAGGGCGUACAGGCGGUGGUGUCAGUCAGAUGUGAAAUCCCCCGGCUCAACCGGGGACCUGCAUUUGAUACUGCAUCACUUGAGUACAGGAGAGGAGAGCGGAAUUUUCGGUGUAGCGGUGGAAUGUGUAGAUAUCGAAAAGAACACCAGUGGCGAAGGCGGCUCUCUGGCCUGAUACUGACGCUGACGCGCGAAAGCCAGGGGAGCAAACAGGAUUAGAUACCCUGGUAGUCCUGGCUGUAAACGUUGGGCACUAGGUGUUGGAGGUAUCGACCCCUUCAGUGCCGAAGCUAACGCAUUAAGUGCCCCGCCUGGGGAGUACGGCCGCAAGGCUGAAACUC
rnacentral:rRNA from 1 species